GCAGGAGGUGCUAGGCUGUGACUUGCUUAGGAUGGGCUGUGUUACCUGUUCCUGCUGUUGGAAAUCUUCUCAGGAAGAGAUGAGGAAGCAAGAAAACAGGCAGUGGGAGCAGGACAGGAGGGGUAACUUAGGUAGGAAAAUGGAAAGCUUCCAGAAGAUCACCCAGGCCACGACCAUCCUGCCUGACCUACAGGAGCCAACUCAGAGAUUACCACAGGCCCAUAUAGAUGGGCACAGACAGUGGCCACAUGUGUGGAGUCUGGAGAAAAUGAGGCCCUUGGAGUCACCUGGAAUGGAUAAAGGCCUGGCUUCAUCAGCUCGGCAUGUUGGAUCUUAGUUCCCUGACCAAGGAUCAAAUCCGUACCCCCUGCUGUGGAAGUGCAGAGUCUUAACCACUGGACUACCAGGCAAGUCCAUGAAUUCACUUUUUAGUUCUGACAGUUGCUUUGGUGUAAUGUUAUGUGGAAAACUAGAAUUAAGUCAUCUCAUAGUUUCAGUUCCAUGUAGGUCAUCCACAGCAACCAAGGCAUGGUGUCGACUAAUAUACUCUUCCUAUGGUGCCUUUUAAUACCACACAGACUAGUA